rnacentral:rRNA from 1 species
GACGAACGCUGGCGGCGUGCUUAAAACAUGCAAGUCGAACGGUGAAGCUCCAGCUUGCUGGAGUGGAUCAGUGGCGAACGGGUGAGUAACACGUGAGCAACCUGCCCCAGACUCUGGAAUAAGCGCUGGAAACGGCGUCUAAUACUGGAUACGAGAUCAAGCCGCAUGGUUAUGGUCUGGAAAGUUUUUCGGUUUGGGAUGGGCUCGCGGCCUAUCAGCUUGUUGGUGAGGUAAUGGCUCACCAAGGCGACGACGGGUAGCCGGCCUGAGAGGGCGACCGGCCACACUGGGACUGAGACACGGCCCAGACUCCUACGGGAGGCAGCAGUGGGGAAUAUUGCACAAUGGGCGAAAGCCUGAUGCAGCGACGCCGCGUGAGGGAUGACGGCCUUCGGGUUGUAAACCUCUUUCAGCAGGGAAGAAGCGAAAGUGACGGUACCUGCAGAAGAAGCACCGGCUAACUACGUG